rnacentral:rRNA from 1 species
AUGGUGUUGCUUGACAUUAGGGGAAUGUUGCAGUCAAUGGGUAAAGACAUUGUUGAUUUCGCUCUUCCAAACAUAGAUGAUGCGUUUGACCCUACAGAGGGCGAGGCAAGAGAGGUUAUCGAGGAAUCAACCGUUGAGUUUGACAUGGAUGACACAAAAUUGGCAUCUUCACUCAACAUGGAGCAGAGGGCCGCAUACGAUGAGAUACUAGGGGCUGUUGAACGCGGUGAUGGGGGUGUUUUCUUUGUUGAUGGCCCUGGAGGUACAGGUAAGACCUUCCUAUAUAGGGCGAUGCUUGCCAAGGUGAGAAGUCAGAGCAAGAUUGGUAUUGCUACCACGACGUCCGGCAUCGCCGCUUCUAUCAUGCCUGGCAGCAGGACUGCCCACUCCAGGUUCAAGAUCCCAUUGAGUUGCGAGGAUGGAGCAUCGUGCAGCUUCACCAAGCAGAGUGGGACCGCCAAGCUGCUACGGAUGGCCUCCUUGAUCAUAUGGGACGAGGCCAGCAUGACAAAGUGA